GCCACCCCGCGGAGGAGGCCCCAGUGCCACAGCCCAGGGCCCCCGAGAGCUCUGGGAGCCCGGGGCAAAUGCUAGAAAUUUGCUUAGAACGUCCGGGUCCCACGGAAGGCGCCCUUGCCGCCCUCUCUCGGGUCGUAGCUCCCUGACGCUGGGGCGCAACCCCUUCGCUCCUCCUCCCCGCUGGCCGCGGCCGGGCUUCCCCAGCUCUUGCUGCUUCGGGCCUGUGACUUCUGCAACCCCGGGCUGGGGGCCGCGGGGUCUCAGGGCCGGUGACGCCGCACUGGGAGCCGCCCCAAAGAGGUUACUCACCUCCCUCGUCCCGCACAUUAUUCUGACCCAAGAGCCUCCACCCCACACGGGAUUUUGCGCGUCGUCCACGCCCGGCCGGCGGCCUUUGCUGCUCCCAGCCCUGCGCGGCUUUGGUCCCAGCCUCGGUGGCCCCUGUGCCAAACCGGGGACAGGCGGAAGGGAGUCUCCUAGGGACCCUAAGUAGCCUGGGGCCAACAACCCCUUUCCUCUCUGCUCUCCCCUCAAAACAAGUUUCAGGAUCUUGCAGGCCUCGCGGCGUCGUUCUUCGUUGUGGCGGCCUGUGGCUCUUUGAAAAACACGACGAGGCCUGCAAAAUGCGUUUUUCUUUUUUUCCUUUACGCAUGUAACCACGGUCCUGCAUCGUGAAACGGUACGCGCGUCGGUGGCAAAAGAAAAACAGCAGUGGCUGCAAAGCUAAGGGCCCUCGCUUUCAGAGGAGAGAAUUUUCUUUCUCCAUGCGGGUGGAAAGUGGCCUCUGCGGGUCCAACCCCACUUCUUCUUGGGCCCGUGCGCUCCGGCUGCGCCGCAGGGACCGCGGACAGCUUCGCCAAGGCACUGCCUGCCCGCCCGGCUCCGGGUCCCCGCUCCCACUCCCAGCCGCGUGGCCCAACCUCUCCUGGGCUUCACUGCAAAUCACCCCUUCCUCUCCCGCCUCCUAAGUCUGUCGAGCAGACCUAGGGGCCGGCUACAGUUGGGAGGGCAACGGGAAAGAUCAAGCCACAAUCAUUCCGAAUUAUCGCCCCAGACACCUCCCUAGACUCUGGGGAACGAACGCGUGCUGAGCCUCCCCGCCGCUUUGGAGACGGGGCUAGAUUUUCGUUGCCUCCGGCUCUCGACAGGUGCAAAACAAUGAAUUCCAAGCCUCGGAAGCAAAGAAGCUUAGGAUCCGACGGUGGCCGCAAGAUCUCAUCAUGGAUCUGACCCCUGCUCAGCGCGCGCCAUUUCGUCGUUGCCAAACGAAAUCAAGCCCCGCGUGCGCUCCAGGGGCGAAGGACUCUGGACUCACCCCGACCACCGGGAGAGCUGGCCCCUACCCACCUCGGGACCUCACAGCACGCCCUCAGGCCGUGUCGAAAGGAAGGACGGCAAAGGUCCCUUACUGAACCUUUUAAGAGAGCCUGCGCCUGGCAGUUGUCGAUUGCGGACCCAGGCCCGCGCGCCCUCGGACGCGCUGGCACGAGCAGCAGAACUAGAGGAAAGCGAGUGAUCCAGCCUGGGCGCUCCCACCUCCGGGAACGUCUCCGAGAAGGCGCAGCGCGUCGUGGCCAGGACACAAUGUUCUGUGUCCUCCGGAGGACACAGCCAGAAGACACUGCCUUGGAAACAGGGAGUCCAGGACCUCACCAGAUGCGGAACCUGCCAGAGCCUUGAUCUUGGACUUCCCAGUCUCCAGAACCAUGUGUACUCUGCAAGGUUGGUGUAACCCCUACAGAUGAGGAAACCAGAGACAGAGAAGUGAAGUAACUCAUGCAGGUGACGGCAGAGGGCAGAGUCAGGACUUGAACCUGGAGAGCCUGGCUCUAAAGCCCAAGCUGGAAUCUCGAUACUCUACACCUCGAUAAGUUUUUGGGAAAUGACUGACUAAACAGAUGAACGCGUUUGCCCCCCCGCCGCCCCAGAGCCCCCUUAAAGCCUACAUGUGGCAGUUUGGGCCCAUUUCCUUGGCUUCCCUCCCUGGAGGGGCACCCACUGCCAGUGUCCCUGCUGAAAUUUAGCAUCAUAUUCCAUGGCGAUUUUCCACCAGUGGAAAUCACAGGUGUUCUCUGGUAUCACAGCGGGGUCAGGGAUGACCUGAAAUAUUGUUCAUGCUCAUCACAACUGCAUGGCCCACCGCGGGGUCUUGUCACUCAGUGAGUUCUUGAAGAGGCACAGACAAAUGGAGUUCAACAAAUGGAAAACAACUGCCUUUAAUUAGCUCCGAGGACUACAAAGGGAACAACGUUAUAAUAGCAGCAACUCCAAGGAAGCAGCCACAGCUCUCAGCUCUCAGACCUGGGGCUGCCGCUCAUCAUCAGCUACAGCUAGGUUUGAUGGGAGUGCCCCCAUUUCAGGGGACAGCAGGCCCCCUUCACUCCCCGACUCAGUCCCCAUCUGCAGCAGCACAGCCUUCCUUGGCCUCACCAGGGAAGAAGAACAGGCCCCGCUCUCAGACAAGCCUUCCCAGAAGCCUGAGGACUCAAACACCCAAAUGUGUCUGGGUCCCUGCCCCGAGCCGGCCACCCAGGCAGCAGCCCUGAAUCACUCGGUCAGCCAGCGGCAGGGCAGGCCAAUGGGCUGGAGGGUAGGCAGGCAGGCAGACCCACCUCUGCAUCUCUGCUGACUGCCUCGGCUGAGGAAAGGCAGCACCAGCCCCCAACCCUGAAGUUCUAGAUCUCAUGCAGCCUCUCUGUUCUGGAACCAUCCAGAGGCACUGCCCUUAUACAUGGUCCACCCCCAGGCUCAGACAAUGAGAAUUCCACAAGCAGAGGGGACUCUAUUUGGGGCACAGAGAGGUUAAGUAACUCCCCUCCUAAGGUCUCUCAGCAAGGAAGCCACUGAGCCGUGGGACUUGAGCUCAGGGACUCUUGAUCCCCAGUCUCAGGUGUCACAGCCCCAUCUGGGCUCCUGCUAGGGAGGAGGAAGGCAGCAGGGGGUGUCUGAGGCCAGGGUGCAUCAGCCCUAAAUGCCAGACAGAGGCAGGAGAAGUCUCCCCAUGAGUCCCAGCCCCAUUAGAGGCUCCAGGUCGGGGAUCCCAGACCCCCUAUCCUUGCUGGGAGACACAACCCAGAACUCUGCAUCCCUGCAGCCACCAAAAAAGGCAAAAGCUGCCCAGAAACACUUUCUCCUCUUCCGUGGCCAAAUCCACGAACUUUCUCGAGGUCUGUCCCCCUGCCCCGUGCAGGUCCAGCUUCAGUGCAGCCCAGCUCUGUGCAGUUUUCCACAAAAGCCUGUGGCUUCCUUCUCCUCCCUCUGCUUCUGAUACCCCAGGAGUUACACACAAAAUGUUGGCGGUGGUCUCCAGGAAGACCCCUGCAUCCCACAGCUCUCCCCAGAAGUUGCCAGCAGUGACCUCCUGAGCCCAGGUGGGGAGUCCCAGGCAGGACAGGGGCUGGGGCUGCAGGCCCUGGGGCCCUGUUAGUGAAGCAGCAAGCCGAGGGUCCCUGAGAGUUUCCCUUGGCCCCUCUGAGGGCUGCCCUUUGAGGUCUUGAGGUCUUGGAGUAUCCAUCGCCCCCACGGCUUACUGUCCCCACCAGCGGAGGAUGAAAGUGCCACAGCGAUGUUCCACGCCAAGAGACCACAGAGACCACCAACCCCUCUUCCCACCUCAGGCUUUCAGAGGCCAGCGGAUUUAGGCGGACAGGCUGUGCGCUUGAGGGCAGCCAGGGCGGUCAGUGGAGGGACGUGGUCCGGGGCCUGGCCACAGCUCCCCACCCAGGGCCCUGGGCUAUUGUUACUCACCGCGGAUGAAGGUCGGCGAGUAGGUCGGGAAGGAGUCGAAGAUGCUGUUCGAUGCCAUGCCCCGCUCUGAAGAAGGCCAGGCUGCGAGGCCCAGGGUGGUGACGC
rnacentral:lncRNA from 1 species